CCUACAUGCCGGGCACAGUCCCGUUGGUCUCCAUGUCGGUGAGGUUGCCCCGCAGGUCCUGCUCCUCCUCGAAGGCCUUGAACAGUGAGUUGAAGUUGCCGGCUCCAAAACCCUGGAGCGGGAGAAAGGAGCCAAGGCCCCCGGGGCCCAAGGGAGGCCCCACCUGGAUCUGGGACUUCUUCCUGCCCGGCGCUGGCUCGUUAAUGGGCAUUUUGAUGGACUCCUCGUAAUUGGCCACCACGAUGGACCGCAGAGAGCUGUACUCCGUGUGCACCUGCGUGUCAUCCACGGACCAGAAACGGUGGAACUGCAGGUUCUUCAGGUGAGGAAACUGAGACUCAAGAAGAUGAAGACUUGCCCAAAUAAUAAAUUGUCGGGACUUGCCUGCUAGCUCAGUGGUUAAGAAUCUGCCUCCCAAUGCAGGGGACAUGGGUUCGAGCCCUGGUCCGGGAACAUCCCACAUGCCGCAGAGCAACUAAGCCUGUGCACCACAGCUACUGAGCCUGCGCUCUAGAGCCCUCGAGCCACAACUACUGAGCCCGCGUGCUGCAACUACUGAAGUCCACACGCCUAGAACCCGUGCUCCGCAACAAGAGAAGCCACCACGGUGAAAAGCCUGCGUACUGCAAUGAAGAGUAGCCCCCGCUCGCCGCAACCAGAGAAAGCCCACGGGCAGCAGUGAAGACCCAACACAGCCAAAAAAAAAAAAAAGCCCGUGCACUGCAACGAAGACUCGCCCCUGCUUGCCGCAACUAGAGAAAGCCUGCACGCACCCAAUGCAGCCAAAAAUAAAUUAAAAUUUAAUUAAUUAAUUAAUUAAACAAAAACCAGGCUGUGAGCAAAAAACCAAAAUAACAGACAAGCAUCCGUAUUUGGACAGAGAGCCAAUAGUUUGCUCACCCCUGCCCUAGACAAUCAAUACAACAAUUAAGCAUUAGUUUGUAGCAGUUGCUGAAUUCUGUGGUAUAAGUACCCCUAUGGCCAGUUUCAAACUACCAACGUAAGGUAGUUUGAACUUGGAGUUGAGAACAGUAUAAGUAGUAACAUAUCACACAGAAAAAUAGGCAAAAGCCUAGGUUGUACUAAAAUGUAGUGAAAUAAUUAGGAAAUGAUGAGAUUUGAGCAUUUAAUUACCUUUGUUUUCAUGAUAGUUUAUUUAGAUGUAAGUUUAUAUUAAUUUUUUUCUGCUUUUUAAUGUAA